rnacentral:tRNA from 1 species
CAAGGAAUAGUUUAAUUAGAAUGCUAGCUUUGGGUGUUAGCGGUGGAGUAUAAAUCUUCUUCCUUGA